CCUACGGGAGGCAGCAGUGGGGAAUAUUGCACAAUGGGGGAAACCCUGAUGCAGCGACGCCGCGUGAGUGAAGAAGGAAUUCGUGAUGUAAAGCUCUAUCAGCAGGGAAGAAAAUGACGGUACCUGAGUAAGAAGCCCCGGAUAACUACGUAACAGCAGCCGCGGUAAUACGUAGGGGGCAAGCGUUAUACGGAUUUACUGGGUGUAAAGGGAGCGUAGACGGAAGUGCAAGUCUGGAGUGAAAGGCGGGGGCUCAAGCCCCGGACUGCUCUUGAAACUGUACGUCUGGAGUGCAGGAGAGGUAAGCGGAAUGCCUGGUGUAGCGGUGAAAUGCGUAGAUAUUAGGAGGAACACCAGUGGCGAAGGCGGCUUACUGGACUGCAACUGACGUUGAGGCUCGAAAGCGUGGGGAGCAAACAGGAUUAGAUACCCCUGUAGUC
rnacentral:rRNA from 1 species